ACGAACGCUGGCGGCAUGCCUAACACAUGCAAGUCGAACGAGACCUUCGGGUCUAGUGGCGCACGGGUGCGUAACGCGUGGGAACCUGCCCUUAGGUUCGGAAUAACUCCCCGAAAGGGGUGCUAAUACCGGAUAAUGUCUUCGGACCAAAGAUUUAUCGCCUUUGGAUGGGGCCGCGUUGGAUUAGCUAGUUGGUAGGGUAAAAGCCUACCGAGGCGACGAUCCAUAGCUGGUCUGAGAGGAUGAUCAGCCACACUGGGACUGAGACACGGCCCAGACUCCUACGGGAGGCAGCAGUGGGGAAUAUUGGACAAUGGGCGAAAGCCUGAUCCAGCAAUGCCGCGUGAGUGAUGAAGGCCUUAGGGUUGUAAAGCUCUUUUACCCGGGAUGAUAAUGACAGUACCGGGAGAAUAAGCACCGGCUAACUCCGUG
rnacentral:rRNA from 1 species